ensembl:lncRNA TTTY10 testis expressed transcript, Y-linked 10
AGGGCAGUGAACCUAAGCCAGGAGCUGCUUAGGCAUUAAGGCUUCUAUACCCAGAAUCGUGUGCUAAGCUUUCUCUCCAAGUCAGCACAACAAAGCAAACCAGAGCAUCGUACCAACAACCUGAAAGGUCACCUGACUCCUUCCUUCUCACUCCCAUUCUGUACUUCUGCAUACGUGGGCAGGCAAGUGAAUGGUAAGUAAGCCUGCAAACAGCCUUUCUUUGUAUAGGGAAUGACAGGCAUUUCAUCAGCAACUCCAGGAUGGCAGGCCGUUAUCCUGAAACCUAUCAGAACAGCUCCUGCUUGGCUUCCAAAAUAUCACAAUUUUGGAAAUGUACAAAGGUUAGUUUUCACAGUCCUUGAAGCCUCUUUCCACCCUGGCCAUAGCCCAUGUCAGCAGUAACCUAUGUCUUUGUUUUACAUAUCAUGUUGUUUUACUCACCUGGUGCCUCCAGUGCCCUAUAGGGUCCCUGAGCUGUCCUGAUACUCUUUCUUAGAUCCUGUCAAAACACUCACUUCAACAAAUUCUGCCCUUGGACUCUGAUGGGAGGUUCUGAUAAAGAAAAUUAUUGAAAACCGCAUUAUUUAAAUGUGGUUAUAUUUCAGCUGGACCUGGAAAUAAAGACGAAAUACUGCUUCGUGACUGUGCUUUAAGGAAUUUUUGCUUCUAGGAGAUGAUUGUGAGCCAGGCAGAGGUGAAGGAGCAGGAGCAAAUAGCCAAGGCACAGUUCACAGUGCUGGAUUUUCUUGUGGAUAUAGCUGCAUUGUUGUUCCUUCUGCCUUGUCCAACUGCUUCCUGGUAUCCCUACCCUCACCUUUUCGUUAUCUUUUCAUCUCUCUAAUCAUUGAGAAAAAGAGUACAAAAAGCCAGAUUUUGCAGUUCCCUAUUUUGUAUUCCAGGUUGAAGAGUGCUCUGGCUGUAGAGGGUCCCCACGAUCUGUCAUCUAGUAACUCACCAGAUACAUAAGAUAUUUUGCCUGCUAUGAAGCCAUUGGAGAAUCAGGUCCAGCUGUGUCCUACAGAUUUAUACCCUCACUUUGGAUGCACUGUGAAUCUUGAAACAAUUCAUUUUAUACUUAACCCUUUAAGUAUAAAGUAUAUACUUCAAGUAUAAAGUGUAAGGUUGCUUCAUUUCAUGGGCCCACCCAGGAUUUAAAGGUGUAUUCCCUGAAAGAAUUGGUUCCUUCCGGUGGGUUCCUGGCUGACUUCAAGAAUGAAGCUGCAGACACUUAUGGACUGGGAGGAGGCCCACGAGAAAAACAGGAAGAACAAGAGAAAGGCUGAGGCUCUAGUGGCUGCUUUGCAGACUUGCAGAGUCCAGGAUCCCCCAGGAACUUCCACUGAUUGCUACCUGUUACCAGUGUUAAAGCCAGGGCACUUUAAGAAGAAUUGCCCAAGCCACAAGAAAAAGCCACCUUGACCACUUUUGUGGUGAAGACCACUGGAGAUUGCACUACUGACCACCAAGACAGAGACACAAUAGCGAAUCUAGAAGUGGAAGUGUGAGAGAUACCUGCAGCUGUUAAGAUGUCUGGGAAUAGACACACAAACUCUCUCUCCCAGAUAAGCAACACAAAGCAGCACAGAGCAACAGAGACUGAAAGUCUGCCUACCUGAUCAGGGAAUAAG